CAAUAGCGUAUAUUAAAGUUGUUGCAGUUAAAAAGCUCGUAGUUGGAUUUGUGGUUGGAGUGAUCGGCCUGUCACUCAGUGUCGGUGCUUGUGUCAUCUCCGUCCAUCCUUGGGUGGAAUCUGUGUGGCAUUCAGUUGUCGUGCAGGGGAUACCCAUCUUUUACUGUGAAAAAAUUAGAGUGUUCAAAGCAGGCUUACGCCGUUGAAUAUAUUAGCAUGGAAUAAUGAGAUAGGACCUGGGUACUAUUUUGUUGGUUUGCGCACCCUGGUAAUGAUUAAUAGGGACAGUUGGGGGUAUUCGUAUUCCAUUGUCAGAGGUGAAAUUCUUGGAUUUCUGGAAGACGAACUACUGCGAAAGCAUUUACCAAGGAUGUUUUCAUUAA
rnacentral:rRNA from 1 species